rnacentral:rRNA from 1 species
GACGAAACGCUGGCGGCGUGCCUAACACAUGCAAGUCGAGCGAGUGAAUCUCCUUCGGAGUGAAGCUAGCGGCGGACGGGUGAGUAAACACGUGGGCAAACCUGCCUCAUAGAGGGGAAUAGCCUUCCGAAAAGGAAGAUUAAUGCCGCAUAAGAUGUAGCUUCGCAUGAAGUAGCAAAUUAAAGGAGCAAAUCCGCUAUGAGAUGGGGCCCCGCGGCGCAUUAGCUAGUUGGUGAGGUAACGG